UCCAGCCUUAGCUGCUGGAAAUGCUCUUAACAGUCCAGCUUCUUCCCUCAGCUAUUUGUAGAGCAAAACCCUUAAAAGGCCCCCUUCUACCUGUACAGGACAGGAGUGAUGGUCGCCAAUUUUUGUUUGGGAUUAUUGAUGAAUGAAUAUGAUUCCAGCUACAGCUACAGAAGCAUCAAUUUUGUAAGAGGUUGGCGGUGGGCUCGUUAUGCUGCUCUCUGUGCACCGCAUUUUAGAAGACCAUUUUCAUCAAAAACGUUGUUAGAAUCUGGAAAAGAUAAAGCAGAAGAACAAGAACGUUCUUUUACAGUGUCUUAUCUCGUUAGUUCGUUUGGGGUAUUUUAGGUAAUAGGAUGCAAAGCAAUGUUGCUCAAAAUCUCUCAGUCUUGAGAGCACUUGAAGUGCCACAAUCCUCUAUUUCCGUACGGGUGAGCUGUCACCCUAGCGUGGUAUGCCAAAAACCGGAGAACUUCAACAAAGAUGUGGAGGAGGUUAUCAGUUUGGGAUUCAACCCUACGACAUUAGCAUUUGUCAAUGGACUCCAAGUGAGUUCGAAAAUGACUAAAUCAACAUGGGAACACAAAAAGGAGGUUUACAGGAGGUGGGGCUGGACUGAAGAUGAGAUCUUGUUGGCUUUUAGGAAGAAACCCACUUGUAUGUAUUUGUCAGAAAAGAAUAUUGUAAGUAAAAUGGAUUUUCUUGUAAACAAGAUGGGGUGGCAGCCUGCAGAUCUGGCCAGAGUUCCUGGGGUUCUAACUCUUAGUCUAGAGCAGAGAAUCAUUCCAAGGUGUUCUGUCAUUAGAGUUCUGAUGGCGAAGGGCUUGCUGAAGAAAAAGUUUACCCUAUCUUCAUUGUUGAUAACCAUUGACAGUUACUUUAUUAGUAGGUUUGUGAUAAACUAUCAAGAAACUGUGCCUCGACUGUUGGAUAUCUUUCAAGGGAAAUUAAGUCUUCAAGAACUUGACUUUCAAUUUGAGGAAAAAUGAAUGCCAAAAAACUUGUAGAAUCAAACACAACUAGUUCAUUGGUGCCUUCAGGAAAUUGGCCUUUGGAGGAAAAAUGAGGGCCAAAAAAUUGUAGCAUCAAGCACAAAUACAUUUAUGCACAAUUCCCCUUUUUCGCUGCUAAUUUAAGUACGUCGAUUCUCAAUUGUUUUUA